AACCCUCGCCUCUAGUUGCCAGCAUUCAGUUGGGCACUCUAGAGGGACCUGCCCGGUGAUAAGCCGCGAGGAAGGUGGGGAUGACGUCAAGUCCUCAUGGCCCUUACGGGCUGGGCUACACACGUGCUACAAUGGUGGUGACAGUGGGAUGCAAAAGGGCGACCUCUAGCAAAUCUCCAAAAGCCAUCUCAGUUCGGAUUGCACUCUGCAACUCGAGUGCAUGAAGUUGGAAUCGCUAGUAAUCGUGGAUCAGCAUGCCACGGUGAAUACGUUCCCGGGCCUU
rnacentral:rRNA from 1 species